UGUGAACAUACCUACUGUUGCUUCGGCGGGAUUGCCCCGGGCGCCUCGUGUGCCCCGGAUCAGGCGCCCGCCUAGGAAACUUAACUCUUGUUUUAUUUUGGAAUCUUCUGAGUAGUUUUUACAAAUAAAUAAAAACUUUCAACAACGGAUCUCUUGGUUCUGGCAUCGAUGAAGAACGCAGCGAAAUGCGAUAAGUAAUGUGAAUUGCAGAAUUCAGUGAAUCAUCGAAUCUUUGAACGCACAUUGCGCCCGCCAGUAUUCUGGCGGGCAUGCCUGUCUGAGCGUCAUUUCAACCCUCAUGCCCCUAGGGCGUGGUGUUGGGGAUCGGCCAAAGCCCGCGAGGGACGGCCGGCCCCUAAAUCUAGUGGCGGACCCGUCGUGGCCUCCUCUGCGAAGUAGUGAUAUUCCGCAUCGGAGAGCGAUGAGCCCCUGCCGUUAAACCCCCAACUUUCCAAGGUUGACCUCAGAUCAGGUAGGAAUACCCGCUGAACUUAAGCAUAUCAA
rnacentral:rRNA from 1 species